CAACUGGAGGACCGAACCGACUAAUGUUGAAAAAUUAGCGGAUGACUUGUGGCUAGGGGUGAAAGGCCAAUCAAACCUGGAGAUAGCUGGUUCUCCCCGAAAGCUAUUUAGGUAGCGCCUCGGACGAAUACUACUGGGGGUAGAGCACUGUUAAGGCUAGGGGGUCAUCCCGACUUACCAACCCUUUGCAAACUCCGAAUACCAGUAAGUACUAUCCGGGAGACACACGGCGGGUGCUAACGUCCGUCGUGGAGAGGGAAACAACCCAGACCGCCAGCUAAGGUCCCAAAUUACUACUAAGUGGGAAACGAUGUGGGAAGGCUCAGACAGCCAGGAUGUUGGCUUAGAAGCAGCCAUCAUUUAAAGAAAGCGUAAUAGCUCACUGGUCGAGUC
rnacentral:rRNA from 1 species